CUAAGAAUAUUCCGCAAUGGACGGAAGUCUGACGGAGCGACGCCGCGUGGAUGACGAAGGCCGAAAGGUUGUAAAGUUCUUUUGCUGGGGAAGAAUAACCGCAGGAGGGAAUGCCUGUGGGAUGACAAGAACCGGCGAAUAAGCCCCGGCCAACUACGUGCCAGCAGCCGCGGUAACACGUAGGGGGCGAGCGUUGUUCGGAAUUACUGGGCGUAAAGGGCAUGUAGGCGGCUUGGAAAGCCUGGCGUGAAAGUCUGCAGCUUAACUGCAGGGGUGCGCUGGGAACUGCUGAGCUUGAGUGACGGGGAGGGAGCUGGAAUUCCUGGUGUAGGGGUGAAAUCUGUAGAUAUCAGGAAGAACACCGAUGGCGAAGGCAAGCUCCUGGCCGAUGACUGACGCUGAGGUGCGAAAGUGUGGGGAUCAAACAGGAUUAGAUACCCUGGUAGUCCACACAGUCAACGAUGUGCACUAGGUGCUGGGGCGGUAGCUUCGGUGCCGGAGCGAACGUGGUAAGUGCACCGCCUGGGGGAGUAUGCUCGCAA
rnacentral:rRNA from 1 species